rnacentral:rRNA from 1 species
AUGGAUCCCGUCUCUCUCUCUCUCUCUCUCACGUGUCUCUUCCUCCCCACAAGAAAAACAGAUCAAUAUCUCUUCCAAAUUCGUGCAUCUCUCUCACGUCUCUCUCUUCCUCUCCCAUGUCUCUCUUCCUUCACACAUGAAAAUCAGAUCAGAUCCGUGUCUCUCUCAAAUUGGAGCAAAGAACAUGGGGCAUGGAUCCCGUACCUCUCUCUCUCUCUCUCUCUCUCUCUCUCACGUGUCACUUCCUCCCCACAAGAAAAACAGAUCAAUAUCUCUUCCAAAUCGGAGCAAAAAACUUGGGGCAUGGAUCACGUGCGCCCACAGGCAAAGAAGUUGGAGCGUGAAUACCCCAAGCUCAAGGAGGUUAUCAUAUUAAAAUUUCCUCAUCUAGAUCAGGGAUUGCUGCAACACCCAAAUUAA